CCCCUCUCAGGGUCGCACCUGGAGAGUUUCCAGUCCUCUACCAGUCUUGGCUAUGGGAGGGAGAGUCAAGCAGAAGCCUGGCCAUUCCAUUCCUAGCUUGGCCAGUGGCUAGUGAGUGGAAGGCCAUCUGCUACAAGU
rnacentral:snoRNA from 1 species